rnacentral:rRNA from 1 species
GACGGGGGGGGCUAGUGUUAUUCGGAAUUACUGGGCGUAAAGGGUGCGUAGGCGGUCUUUCAAGCCAGAAGUGAAAGGCUACGGCUCAACCGUAGUAAGCUUUUGGAACUGUAAGACUUGAGUGCGGGAGAGGAGAGUGGAAUUCCUAGUGUAGCGGUGAAAUGCGUAGAUAUUAGGAGGAACACCAGUAGCGAAGGCGGCUCUCUGGACUGUAACUGACGCUGAGGCACGGAAGCGUGGGGAGCAAACAGG